ACAAAAUACAGAAAUACCACCCAACACAAAUGCUUCAGCAAUAGACCAUUUAGUAGCCAUAGAUAAUGAAUAGUUACAUCUUAAAAAGUGAAUUUUCUCAUAGCUCGUUUGGUUUGGGUGAGUGAGAACAUCUUUCGAACUAGGCCUAGUUUUUACAGCCAUAAGUUUUUUCACAAAGUGAAAAGUCAAAUCAACAUUGUUAAUGUUUUCUAAUUGUUGAGUUGGAUCAUUUAGCCUUGCUUUCUCAAACUCAAUAAAUUCAUGAGUCAGCCCUUCAAUAAGUCUAUCCAAACCUCUGUAAACAAAGUCUAAAGAGUUAUAGCAGUAGUUUUUAAAGUAGUUAAUUUCAUCAUAAGUAAAACCAACAGUGUUGAUAGAGUAAAGCAGUCCAGAUAAUACAUUGUCUCUGAAUGGACUAUACUGUCCGGCAGCAUGAACGAAUAAGUCACCAGGAUGCCAUGGACCAUCUCCAUAAGCAUCUGGGGAGAUAUGAAUAAAACCAUUAGCAAACCUUUGGCUUGCUAAUACAGAAUGUGUAUAUCUAUCUAUCUCUUCUAAGUAGGCAGUAAGCAUAAUGGGGGUGGAGCCAACCAAUUUUUUCUUAAUAUCAUUAACUGUGUCAAUUUUAGUGUCUAGGAAGGGGUAAGUCUGAUUUGGAGAUGAGAAUGAAUGGUUGAAUAUACUAAGCGUUGCAUGAGCCAUAGUGGAUUGUUCAGGCCAAAAUCGUCCAUUUAGCACGACUUCUUGAGACUUAACAGGGUCCAAUGCAAGCGUAUGGAAUAAAGUUUGUAAAGAAGCUCUUGACCUAGACAAAAUGAAGAAGCCACUGUUGACAAAAGAAUUUCUAUUUCUCCAUUCAGAAUCUCUUGCAGCCAAGAAAACGACUUCUCCUGCAUCCUUGUAUAUAUUUCUAAAUAUUUCAGGUGGUUUGUUAUUGUAUUCUGG
rnacentral:antisense_RNA from 1 species